rnacentral:rRNA from 1 species
AGAGUUUGAUCCUGGCUCAGGAUUAACGCUAGCGGCAGGCAUAAUACAUGCAAGUUGAACGGGAUAAGUUUUAGCAAUAAGACUUUGAGAGUAGCGCACGGGUGCGUAACACGUAUGCAACCUACCCUUUACUAAGGGAUAGCCCCUCGAAAGAGGGAUUAAUACCUUAUAAUAUGUUUCCAUGGCAUCAUGGGAAUCUU